rnacentral:lncRNA from 1 species
ACUUAUCAAUAAUAUUGCACAAGUUUUAACAAUGGCUAGCUUGAAUCAUCGAGGAUUGUUUCUUUUUUGCCUGGUAAUGCUCUUGGUUUCUGCAAUGUCAAUGCGAAAAAUCGAUGCUAGAGAUGAUGCGAUAAACCUGAAUACUCAUGGCAAGCAGUAUGAGAUCGAACAUGAUGAAGAUGACAAUCGUGGAACCACUGGAAGGUCCGGACAGGAAAAAGACAGAGCAGGAGGAGAUGUCCGUGUUGUUG